UGGUUGUGCGCUCCACAAAAUGUUUUGCUUUCACACCACUAGCAUUCAUUCCAUGAUUCAGUGAGCAUGUGCUGCCUGGUGGGGCUGUGGGUCUUGACAUCAGAGCCUCUUUACUCACAAUUCUAAUGGCCAAGAUUGGUUCCCAUUUUGGUUCAAGCAACUUCUCUUCUUGUCUAACCAGAUCACCUGGUUGUUUACACAGACUCAUUUUGCAAGGAGGAACCCCAAGAAAUUCACCAGGCUUAAUAGCACUCAGAACCUGUGGAAGAAACCAAGAUUCUUCAGCUUAAUUGGGAGCGUGGAGAAUACAACUUGACUGCUGAGUUUGAGUAUUACCAUGGAUGAUGAGAGUAUACUCCUAGAUCUACUCUCUGUUACCCGCAGACUCAGGUAGAUGCCUACUCAAACUUUGGUUCAGAUGUGGAGACUCAGAUGUGGAGACUGACAAUGGCCCCUGCGCACACAAAGAGGGAAAGGGAAGAGCUUCAGAUAAACAGCAGAAGAGAAAGAACAGGCUUCUGUCAGUCAUCAAUCCACCAGAGAUGCGCUGGUGCCAGGCGGAUCUGCCUUUUCACAGAUCAAGGGAGAUUGCCGUUCAUGCCUCCUGUUGUGGUGAGGGUGGGUCCCCGCCAACAGUGAAGAGCGUCAGCUACACCCACCCCAGCCUACAAAGAAGAAAAGGAAGAUCAAGAGAGUGAGAGGCUGGCAAAUUCUUCACAGAGGGGAUUAUAUGUGGCGAUGUGGACUUCCAUUUCUGGAAAUAUAAUGGACUAGAAAUCCUGAUAACCUUUCCAUUCCAAAAUAGGCAAGCAAACAACAACCAUUUAAAAUACUGAAUAACAUGUUGA